rnacentral:rRNA from 1 species
AGAGUUUGAUCCUGGCUCAGGACGAACGCUGGCGGCGUGCCUAAUACAUGCAAGUAGAACGCUGAAGAGAGGAGCUUGCUCUUCUUGGAUGAGUUGCGAACGGGUGAGUAACGCGUAGGUAACCUGCCUUGUAGCGGGGGAUAACUAUUGGAAACGAUAGCUAAUACCGCAUAACAAUGGAUGACCCAUGUCAUUUAUUUGAAAGGGGCAAAUGCUCCACUACAAGAUGGACCUGCGUUGUAUUAGCUAGUAGGUGAGGUAACGGCUCACCUAGGCGACGAUACAUAGCCGACCUGAGAGGGUGAUCGGCCACACUGGGACUGAGACACGGCCCAGACUCCUACGGGAGGCAGCAGUAGGGAAUCUUCGGCAAUGGGGGCAACCCUGACCGAGCAACGCCGCGUGAGUGAGGAAGGUUUUCGGAUCGUAAAGCUCUGUUGUAAGUCAAGAACGAGUGUGAGAGUGGAAAGUUCACACUGUGACGGUAGCUUACCAGAAAGGGACGGCUAACUACGUGCCGGCAGCCGCGGUAAUACGUAGGUCCCGAGCGUUGUCCGGAUUUAUUGGGCGUAAAGCGAGCGCAGGCGGUUUGAUAAGUCUGAAGUUAAAGGCUGUGGCUCAACCAUAGUUCGCUUUGGAAACUGUCAAACUUGAGUGCAGAAGGGGAGAGUGGAAUUCCAUGUGUAGCGGUGAAAUGCGUAGAUAUAUGGAGGAACACCGGUGGCGAAAGCGGCUCUCUGGUCUGUAACUGACGCUGAGGCUCGAAAGCGUGGGGAGCGAACAGGAUUAGAUACCCUGGUAGUCCACGCCGUAAACGAUGAGUGCUAGGUGUUGGAUCCUUUCCGGGAUUCAGUGCCGCAGCUAACGCAUUAAGCACUCCGCCUGGGGAGUACGACCGCAAGGUUGAAACUCAAAGGAAUUGACGGGGGCCCGCACAAGCGGUGGAGCAUGUGGUUUAAUUCGAAGCAACGCGAAGAACCUUACCAGGUCUUGACAUCCCGAUGCUAUUUCUAGAGAUAGAAAGUUACUUCGGUACAUCGGUGACAGGUGGUGCAUGGUUGUCGUCAGCUCGUGUCGUGAGAUGUUGGGUUAAGUCCCGCAACGAGCGCAACCCCUAUUGUUAGUUGCCAUCAUUCAGUUGGGCACUCUAGCGAGACUGCCGGUAAUAAACCGGAGGAAGGUGGGGAUGACGUCAAAUCAUCAUGCCCCUUAUGACCUGGGCUACACACGUGCUACAAUGGUUGGUACAACGAGUUGCGAGUCGGUGACGGCAAGCUAAUCUCUUAAAGCCAAUCUCAGUUCGGAUUGUAGGCUGCAACUCGCCUACAUGAAGUCGGAAUCGCUAGUAAUCGCGGAUCAGCACGCCGCGGUGAAUACGUUCCCGGGCCUUGUACACACCGCCCGUCACACCACGAGAGUUUGUAACACCCGAAGUCGGUGAGGUAACCUUUUGGAGCCAGCCGCCUAAGGUGGGAUAGAUGAUUGGGGUGAAGUCGUAACAAGGUA